rnacentral:rRNA from 1 species
UACGAAGGGGGCUAGCGUUGUUCGGAAUCACUGGGCGUAAAGGGCGCGUAGGCGGCCAUAUAAGUCGGGGGUGAAAGCCUGUGGCUCAACCACAGAAUUGCCUUCGAUACUGUAUGGCUCGAGACCGGAAGAGGUAAGUGGAACUGCGAGUGUAGAGGUGAAAUUCGUAGAUAUUCGCAAGAACACCGGUGGCGAAGGCGGCGACCUGGGUCGAGACUGACGCUGAGGCGCGAAAGCGUGGGGAGCAAACAGG